rnacentral:rRNA from 1 species
UACGUAGGUGGCAAGCGUUAUCCGGAAUUAUUGGGCGUAAAGCGCGCGUAGGCGGUUUUUUAAGUCUGAUGUGAAAGCCCACGGCUCAACCGUGGAGGGUCAUUGGAAACUGGAAAACUUGAGUGCGGAAGAGGAAAGUGGAAUUCCAUGUGUAGCGGUGAAGUGCGCAGAGGUAUGGAGGAACACCAGUGGCGAAGGCGACUUUCUGGUCUGUAACUGACGCUGAUGUGCGAAAGCGUGGGGAUC